rnacentral:ncRNA from 1 species
CCAAAUGUGUUGAUUAGAAAUAGUAAACGUGAUUUGACCUUUCAGAGAGCCGUUGGGUGGUGCGAAACGGCAGUGUCCGUCAUGUUGAACUCGUCUAUGAACAGCUGCCUGAUAAGUAGGGUAAGCCGGGAUUCCGCCGUUACAAGGAUAGAUGGUGUUAGCCAUCGAAAGAGAUCAUUUCAUCAUGUGAAAUGAAUUAGAGUGGUACCGCGGGUUAAACCUCGUCUCUAUA